UACGGAGGGUGCAAGCGUUGUCCGGAUUUAUUGGGUUUAAAGGGUGCGUAGGCGGCCAUUUAAGUCUGGGGUGAAAGCCCGUUGCUCAACAACGGAACUGCCCUGGAAACUGGAUGGCUUGAGUACAGACGAGGGUGGCGGAAUGGAUGCUGUAGCGGUGAAAUGCAUAGAUAGCAUCCAGAACCCCCGAUUGCGAAGGCAGCUGCCUAGACUGUAACUGACGCUGAGGCACGAAAGCGUGGGGAGCGAACAGG
rnacentral:rRNA from 1 species